AUGAUGAAGUAUGAGGCUAUGACUGACUCCCACUUCGAGAAUCUAUACAAGUACCGAGAAACAUGGGUGCCAUGUUACUUCAAGCACCAAUUCUUCCCUUUCUUGCAGUCAACUCAACGCAGCGAGGGGUUCAACGCUGUCCUUAAGCGUUAUGUGAACCCACACAAGUUCAUCUUGAACUUCAUGAAGCAAUAUCAGAAAAUCCAAACACACAUACUAGUUCGAGAGGGUGCGAAGGAUUACAGGACGGGACAUUUGUAG
rnacentral:rRNA from 1 species